CUGGUGUUUAUGUCUGCACAGA
rnacentral:piRNA from 1 species